CCCAUUUCUUACUGAAGAGAGAGAGAGAGAGAGAGAACAAUGGACACUGUGCAAUUAUUCCUUGUUUUGGUGUAUUUAAUAGGGUUUAGUUAAUAUUCGCAUCAUCAAGACUGAAAUAGAGACAAACAGAACUAUAAUGUUAACUCUUGAGGUUUUGUAUGGACACUAGAUUGUACUUCAGCUACAAAUGCACAAGAAACUAUACAAAAAAACACCACUAUUUAUAUUGAAAAAAAUAUGCAACUAUGUAUUUUGUGUGAUUUUUAGUGAGUUAGACGAAUGUAUCAAAAGUACUACUAUCGAACUCUCUUUGAUCUCUGGCUCCCUCUCCCAAAUAAAAA